rnacentral:rRNA from 2 species
UUAAUUUGAGAGUUUGAUCCUGGCUCAGGACGAACGCUGGCGGCGUGCCUAAUACAUGCAAGUCGAACGAACUCUGGUAUUG